UACGGGGGGAGCAAGCGUUGUUCGGAUUUACUGGGCGUAAAGGGCGCGUAGGCGGCCACCGCAAGUCGGUUGUGAAAUCUCUGGGCUUAACCCAGAAAGGUCAACCGAUACUGCGGGGCUAGAGUGCAGAAGGGGCAACUGGAAUUCUCGGUGUAGCGGUGAAAUGCGUAGAUAUCGAGAGGAACACCUGCGGCGAAGGCGGUUCUCUGGGACGGUACUGACGCUGAGACGCGAAAGCGUGGGGAGCGAACAGG
rnacentral:rRNA from 1 species